rnacentral:lncRNA from 1 species
UGCAGGGACUACUAAUUAACUUAGUCUGCAUGUUCCUGAAACUCUAAGCUAUUUGUUACCUCUUUGUUUGUGUGAAUUAGACAUUAAUUUGUUCUGUCUAGCAUCAUCAAGCUGUACUCUCAAAGUCCUCUACAUUUUUAUAUUGUUGUUUUCUCAUUCUUAGAGGACAGGCCUCGGAGCAAUGGUAAGAUUGCUCCAUUAUGACCUGAGUGUCAUGGGUUUGAAAUACGGAAACAGUCUCUCCACAUAUGAGCUUAACGUUGCACAUAUCUGACCCUCUCCAUAUCCUGUGGUGGCAGGAGCCUUGCAUCCUGAGAUUGUUUUUUUUUUAUUUUUCUUUGUUUUUUCUCUCUUGGAAAUGCUCUAUAAAUCUCCUAUUCAUCUUCUGAUUUCACUGUAUAAACACAUUUACAAUGAGCAUGUUUUGAAUGUUUACCAUCACAAAAAUUGUCUGCAACUCUUGACAAGUAGGAAGUACUGUUCUGAGUAUUCACCUUUAAGCAGGUGCAAGUUUUGUUCUGUAAUAGAAUCUGAGCUCGACUGCAAAAAUUAAGAUUGCAUAAACCUGCUGAUAGUCUUGAUUUUUGUUGUCUACAAAAUGCAAUAAAUAGUUUUAUGCACUUCAGUAAUAGUAAUAGUAA